rfam:Brettanomyces bruxellensis AWRI1499 AWRI1499_contig1849_scaffold26, whole genome shotgun sequence.
GCUCGCGUAGCGUAAUUGGUUAGCGCGUUUGACUUCUAAUCAAGAGAUUGCGGGUUCGAGUCCCGCCGCGAGUG